UAACCGGCCUGAGAAGGUGUCCGGUCACACUGGGACUGAGAUACGGCGAUAGCUUUCCGGGAGGCAGCAGUGGGGAAUAUUGCACAAUGGGCGAAAGCCUGAUGCAGCGACGCCGCGUGAGGGAUGACGGCCUUCGGGUUGUAAACCUCUUUCACCAUGGACGAAGCGUAAGUGACGGUUCGUGCUGAAGAAGCACCGGCCAACUACUAUGCCAGCAGCCGCGGUAAUACGUAGGGUGCGAGCGUUGUCCGGAAUUACUGGGCGUAAAGAGCUCGUAGGUGGUUUGUCGCGUUGUUCGUGAAAACUCACAGCUUAACUGUGGGCGUGCGGGCGAUACGGGCAGACUAGAGUACUGCAGGGGAG
rnacentral:rRNA from 1 species